CCUAGAGAUAGGGCUUCUCCUUCGGGAGCAGAGUGACAGGUGGUGCAUGGUUGUCGUCAGCUCGUGUCGUGAGAUGUUGGGUUAAGUCCCGCAACGAGCGCAACCCUUGAUCUUAGUUGCCAUCAUUAAGUUGGGCACUCUAAGGUGACUGCCGGUGACAAACCGGAGGAAGGUGGGGAUGACGUCAAAUCAUCAUGCCCCUUAUGACCUGGGCUACACACGUGCUACAAUGGACGGUACAAAGAG
rnacentral:rRNA from 1 species